GGUAAAAGAAGUGAUCAAGGGCACAACUUGCCUGGGACUUGAUAUUCCAGGUACCAACUUGCUCUUCAGAUGACACAUGACCUCACUGCUAGUCGUAGCAAUACAAAUAAACAUGGUAUAGGCAAAAUUAACAUCACACCAAGCAUAAGAAUAAACUGCGUAAUAAUAAUCUAUGCGAAGCUACAAGAUCGUGGGUUCGAGAAUAGCUAAAAUUGGAGUUAUGGUUAAGGAGUUAUGAUUUAUGGGAGAUCUAUGUGAUUUAACUAUUAAACUAUAUUAUAAAUUGAUUAGUAUACACCAUAUGAGAUAAUAUUCUAUGAAUAAUUAAUUCAACUUUAAUCUUAAUUAUAACUUGACUAGAGAACAUAUUUUAAUCAAACUAUAAUCAUGGAUAGGUUAACUUCGUUUAGAGGAGUUAAUCUAUUAAACAUAGGCUAGACAAAUUUCUAAAAAUAAAAGUAUGGGGUGCGAUAAAUGUUAGUGUCAUACUGUAUAGAUGAUAUUAUUGUGAAUCUAACGCAAUUCGAACGGAUCAAAUCAGAGUUACGGUUAAAAAGUUACGAAUUUCUAUAGAUUUAGCACUGGUGCACAAAAGAAAUUAAGUACACAAUUUUAGUUUAGGUUUCAUAACAAAAUAAACUUACUAGGUGAUAGACAAAAAAAAUUAUUGCAACUAGAAUGGAUGAAAAAGGAUUUAAAAUGAAUUUUCUAUGAAGUAUAUAAGUUUUGGAAUUAUUUUAGCACUAGAAAUUCAUUUUCUAAAACCUUUUCCCUAUUUUCUCGAAUUACAGGACUGCGCGCAGCAUUUCAGAGAAAUGCAGGGUCUAAUUCGAAAGACUCCCAAGGCUCAGGCUACAGCUAGGGUGGACUGCGGGUUCAAUAUCAUAAACCUGAGGGUCUCUCACGUAAAAAGCCUGGCCGAAGGGGUACCGCGCAACCUGAACCGUCUGAUGUACUACAACGGCCUUGAUUUAAAACAUCUAGUUCUAAUCUCACUCGUCCAACACCAGAUCAGCGUCUCAAAUUGCUUCUUCCUUCUCCCGGCGGUCAGCCAUGGUGGCUCGCGCAGUACACAGCAGAGGCCAUUGCCGGCACACGCCCAUCCGGUAUGCUAGCAUCCAAACUUAAGCGCGACUCGAUGAAAAUGAAACAGGAGGGGCAAACUCGGAAAGGCUAUCAUACCGGUAGUAGGGACGGACCCCGGUGCUGGUGCCAGCGUUUGUCCAUAGCUUCGCGUGGUCGCGAAUACGACCGAGGCUUCGACAACGAUCUUCCCAGUUAUCUAGCCGUCGUAGCUCCAUGCAAUCCUCUGGUGCAUGCACGACUUGAUCUGAGGGACCUCCUAGCUACACUCCGAGGUUAACCAAUGGCAUAGACACCACAACGCUUCCUCGGUGACAAACUCUAUUUCUUUCUCUACCUGCUAUAUAUCUGUUAAUUCG
rnacentral:lncRNA from 1 species